rnacentral:rRNA from 2 species
UGACCUCAAAUCAGGUAGGACUACCCGCUGAACUUAAGCAUAUCAAUAAGCGGAGGAAAAGAAACUAACAAGGAUUCCCCUAGUAACUGCGAGUGAAGCGGGAAAAGCUCAAAUUUAAAAUCUGUCAGUCUUUGGCUGUCCGAGUUGUAAUCUAGAGAAGUGUUAUCCGCGCUGGACCGUGUACAAGUCUCCUGGAAUGGAGCGUCAUAGAGGGUGAGAAUCCCGUCUUUGACACGGACUGCCAGGGCUUUGUGAUGCGCUCUCAAAGAGUCGAGUUGUUUGGGAAUGCAGCUCAAAAUGGGUGGUAAAUUCCAUCUAAAGCUAAAUAUUGGCGAGAGACCGAUAGCGAACAAGUACCGUGAGGGAAAGAUGAAAAGAACUUUGGAAAGAGAGUUAAACAGUACGUGAAAUUGCUGAAAGGGAAACGCUUGAAGUCAGUCGCGUUGGCCAGGGAUCAACCUUGCUUUUGCUUGGUGUACUUUCUGGUUGACGGGUCAGCAUCAAUUUUGACUGUUGGAAAAAAAUUAAGGGAAUGUGGCAUCUUUGGAUGUGUUAUAGCCCUUGGUUGCAUACAAUGGUUGGGAUUGAGGAACUCAGCACUCCGCAAGCGCCGGGUUUUAACC